rnacentral:rRNA from 1 species
UACGUAGGGGGCGAGCGUUGUCCGGAAUCACUGGGCGUAAAGGGUGCGUAGGCGGCGAUGUAAGUCUCCGGUGAAAAUCCCUGGCUCAACUGGGGGGGUGCCGCGGGGACUGCCUGGCUCGAGGGCCGGAGAGGGUAGCGGAAUUCCUGGUGUAGCGGUGAAAUGCGUAGAUAUCGGGAGGAACACCAGCGGCGAAGGCGGCUACCUGGACGGUUUCUGACGCUGAGGCACGAAAGCUGGGGGAGCAAACAGG